rnacentral:lncRNA from 1 species
GUCACUAGGCAACCGCGUCGGCGUCUGCUUUUAACCUGUGGGAGAACCCGGCGAGCUAAGCCAAACGGAGGGCGGGAGAGAGGAAGCGGCAGCUGGCGCCUCUCGGCAACUCUAACCCUCUGAUAGAGAUCGCCAAGAUUGGUAUCCAUAGAGCUUGCUGUGGUUUGAAUGUAUCCCCCAAAGUUCAUGUGUUGGAAACUAUUCUUAAUGCAAAAGUGUUAAGAGAUCCCGGAGAGCUUGUCCACUGCAACAGUGCAACACGCUAAGGGCUGUGUGGCGGCACAGGGGCUCUGAGCUCCUGACCUGAGUCAUGGGGACCUGAAGGCUGACACCCAGCCCUAUACCUACAAGCUGGGUGAGACCCCUGGCAGUUGCCUACACCCCUGCUGAGACCCAGUACCUCCCUGUAAAAUGGGGGAAAUAAUGCCUGCCUCACAGGGUUUCGAUGAAGGGAAACAUUUGGAAACCCCUUGGAGGAGAUCUGCCACAUGGCCUCCAGUGAACUGUAGACUCCUGCAUAGCCUUCCAAAGUUCUUCAUUUGGUGAAUAUUAUGAGAAAUGACACGUAUGACUUUCUCCCAAAUACGUGGCUUAAACCCAAAGUACAGUGAAAUCAGAACUGACCACACAGAGUAAUUGGGGCAAGGGAGUUAUUUGUGACACAAAGCCCUCAUCACUUUAUAAAAGUACUUGCUACUGAUUACAUUGAAAACCAGUCUUCCUGAGUAAAACAUGUUUUUUGUUUUGUAUCGUUUUUGUUUUUGUUUUUUUGAGACAGAGUCUCACUCUUUGACCCAGGCUGGAGUGCAGUGGUGCGAACUUGGCUCUCCGCAACCUCUGCCUUCUGGGUUCAAGCGAUUCUCUUGCCUCAGCCUCCUGAGUAGCUGGGAUUACAGGUGCCCGUCACCACGCCAGGCUAAUUUUUUUGUAUUUUUAGUAGAGGCGAGGUUUUGCCAUGUUGGCCAGGUUGAUCUUGAACUCCUGACCUCAGAUGAUCCACAUGCCUGGGCCUCCCAAAGUGCUGGGGUUAGAGGCAUUAAGGGAGGAGACCACCCCUCAUAUUGUCUUAUGCCCAAUUUCUGCCUCCAAAGAAAGAAAAAGUAAAAACUGAAAGGCAGAAAUGAAAUCCACAAGCAGACAGCCCGGUGCCACACCCUGGGCAGAUCGACCCCUGACCUAAUCGGUUAUGUUAUCGAUUACAGACAUUGGAUAGAAAAGCACUGUGAAAAUCCCUAUCCUGUUUUGUUCAGAUCGAAUUACCGGUGCAUGCAGCCCCCAGACACGUACCCUCUGCUUGCUCAAUCGAUCACGACCCUCUCACACGCACCCCCUUAGAGUUGUGAGCCCUUAAAAGGGACAGGAAUUGCUCACUCGGGGAGCUUGGCUCUUGAGACAGGAGUCUUGCCAAUGCCCCCAGCCGAAUAAACCCCUUCCUUCUUUAACUCGGAGUCUGAGGAGUUUUGUCUGCAGCUCAUCCUGCUACAUUUCUUGGUUCCCUGACCAGGAAGCGAGGUGACUGGCACAUGGUCGAGGCAGCUGCUUAGGCAGCUUAAGCAUGCCCUGUGAAACAUCCCUGUGGGGGACUCCGACCAGCCCAGGCAACGCGGAUCCUGAGAACGCUCCCGGGUAGGCAUCUGCCCCUGUGGGAUGCCUCACCAGAGCAGUGUGUGGCAGGCCCCCGUGGAGGACCAACACAGUGGCUGAACACCGGGAAGGAACAGGAUCUUGGAGUCUGGACAUCUAAAACUUGGCACAUGUACCACCCCUAGAAUUUCUGGUAAACCAGCACCAGCCUGAAGAUCACGUUCUCAUCAAACGGUGGAAAGAAGAAAAACUCGAGCCAACCUAGGAAGGACCCCACCUUGUGCUGCUAACCACCAAGACUGCUGUUUGUACAGAAAAAAAAAAAAAAAAAAAAAAAAAGGAUGGACUCAUCACACCCGAGUCAAGAAAGUGCCACCUCCUCCAGAGUCAUGGGCCAUAGUCCCAGGGGAAAACCCUACCAAACAAAAGCUAAGAAAAAUUUAACUCUUUUCCUCUAUUCUAUUACUCUUUCUUCUUUCCUCGUUCUAUUGCUGACCAUCUAGUUAUUAACAUAACCAAGUCAAUUUCGCCUCAAACUAUUGCAUUUAAUGCUUGCCUUGUUAUACCCUGUGGGGACUUGCCAAGUCAAAGACAGCUUUCUUCUUCAGAAAAGUACUUCUGUCCCUCCUGACUCUCCUCAGACUGGGAAUUAGUAAACUGAACCAUUUAAUCCCGGGAGAUUUCGAUAAAGACCCCAGUGCCAACCAGGAGUCUUGCCCCCUGAUGUGCAGCUUGCAUGUCAUAGUUGGACCAACGUUCUGUGGACCACUACAGAACAAGGAUGGACUGCCCCAACCGGUUUUUGUAAUUUCCUAAAACCAUACAUUCAUUUUACUAGAGGAUCAUAGCAGUUAAAGACUUAAAACAAACUUUAGCAAUUAAGACGGGAUACCAAGAUGCAACUGCCUGGUUAAAAUGGAUCAAAUAUUCCAUCUGCAUGUUAAACAAAAGCAAUUGUUAUGCUUGCGCACAUGGCAGGCCAGAGACCCAGACUGUCCCCUUUCCACUAAGGUGGUCCUCCGUCGACCAGGUGUGGGCUGCAUGGUAGCUCUUUUCCAGGAUUCUACAGCAUGGAAUAAUAAGUCAUGCCAAGCUCUCUCUGCUAUAUCCCAAAGUCAGGCACCCUGCAGGUCAGCCCCCAAGGGCCAUCCAGCUUCCGUCCCCCAACACUAAGUUCACUUCGUGUUUCUCACGACAGGGAGGAAACAGCAUUCCUUGGAGACCUAAAGGGAUGCAGUGAGCUUAAGAAUUUUCAAGAGCUUAUCAAUCAGUCAGCCCUUGUUCAUCCCCGAGUGGAUGUGUGGUGGUAUUGUGGUGGACCUUUACUGGGCACUCUGCCGAAUAACUGGAGGGGCACUUGUACUUUAGUCCAGUUGACUAUCCCUUUCACCCUGGCAUUUCAUCAACCAGAAGGAAAAAAAAUAAGACAUCAUAAAGUGAGAGAAGCCUCCUAUGGGUCUUUCGACUCUCAUAUCUAUUUAGACACAAUUGGAGUCUCACGAGGAACAGCAGAUCAAUUUAAAGCUUGAAAUCAAAUAGCUGCAGGAUUUGAGUCAAUAUUUUAGUAGGUGACAGUUAAUAAAAAUGUAGAUUAUAUAAACUACAUCUAUUACAACCAACAGCAAUGAGCUUUUCAUGAGUUAAAAAAAACUCAUGUCAGCCCCAGCCCUGGGGCUACCUGACCUGACAAAACUCUUUGAACUCUAUGUGUCAGAGAAAAAAUGGCAGUUGGAGUUUUAACCCAGACUAUGGGGCCCUGGCCAAGGCCAGUGGCCUAUCUCUCAAAACAACUAGACAGGGUUUCCAGAGUCCAGCCCCCAGAUCUAAGGGCCUUAGCAGCAACAGCCCUGUUAGCACAAGAAGCAGAUAAACUAACCCUUAGGCAAAACCUGAAUAUAAAGGCCCCCUUGCUGUGGUAACUUUAAUGACUACCAAAGGACAUCAUUGGUUAACAAAUACUAGAUUAACCAAGUAUCAAAGCUUAAAAUCCCCACAUAACCAUUGAAGUUUGCAACACCCUAAAUCCCACCACCUUGCUCCCGGUAUCAGAGAGCCCAGUUGAACAUAACUGUGUAGAAGCGUUAGACUCAGUUAGACUCUAGCAGGACCAACCUCUGAGACCAUCCUUAAACAUCAGUAGACUGUGAGCGGUACGUGGACGGGAGCAGCUUCGCCAACCCCUGCAAAGUGACUCUGAAGAAGAUGACAAGCCCUGCUCCAGUCACACCCGGAAGCUGACUGGUCCACGCACGGCCGAAGCAUGAGAAAACUCAUCACGGGACUCAUUUUCCUUAAAAUUUGGACUUUUACAGUAAGGACUUCAACUGACCUUCCUCAGGCUGAGGGCUGUUCCCAGUGUAUGCAUCAAGUCACUGAGGUAGGACAAAAGGUUGCUACGGUCCUAUUAUUUUAUGGUUAUUAUAAGUGUACUGGAACUCUAAAAAGAACUUGUUGGUAUAAUGUUAUUCUAUACAAGGUAUGUAGCCCAGGAAAUGACAAACCUGAUGUGUGUUAUGACCCAUCUGAGUCUCCCAUGACCACAGUUUUUAAAAUAAGAUUAAAGACUGAGGACUGGUGGGGGCUUAUAAACAAUACGAGCAACGUGUUAGCCAAAACAGAAGAAAAAGGGGUGCCCAAAGAAGUCACCUUAAAAUUUGAUGCCUGUGCUGUCUUUAAUAGUAAUGUUAGAAAUAAGGUGUGGUUCUCUUAAUUAGAAAAGAGGCUAUAUGGCAGAAAAUAAGUACAUCUGUCAUAAAUUAGGACUGUGUAGAAAUAAAUGUAAAUACUGGUCUUGUGUCAUUUAGGCCACUUGGAUUUAAAAAAAAUGAAAAGGAUCCAGUCCACCUUCAGAAAGGAAAAAAUGGCCCUUCCUGUACUAAAGGGCAAUGUAACCCCUUAGAGCUAGUAAUAACCAAUCCCCUUGAUACUCGCUGGAAAAAAGACGAGCAUGUGACCUUAGGAAUCGACGGGGCCGGACUGCAUCCUUGAGUAAAUAUCUUGGUUCGAGGAGAAGUUUACAAACGCUCUCCUGAGCCAGUGUUUCAACCUUUCUAUGAUGAACUAAAUGUGCCAGUACCAGAAAUUCCAGGAAAAACAAGAAAUUUGUUUUUGCAAUUAGCCGAGCAUGUAGCCCAGUCUCUCAAUGUCACUUCAUGUUAUGUAUGUGGAGGAACUGUAAUAGGAGAUCAAUGGCCAUAGGAAGCCCAAGAAUUAGUACCUACAGACACAGUUCCUGAUGAAUUCCCGGCUCAAAAGAAUCACCCUGAUAAUUUCUAGGUCCUAAAAGGCUCAAUUAUUGGACAAUAUUGCAUAGCUAAAGAAGGAAAAGAAUUCACUCACCCUGUCAGAUGACUUAGUUGUCUGAGACAGAAACUGUAUAAUGGUACCACAAAAACAGUCACUUGGUGGAGUUCAAAUCACACAGAAAGAAAUCCAUUUAGUAAAUUCCCAAAGUUGCAAACCGUGUGGACCUACCCAGAGUCACACCAGGACUGGACAGCCCCCACUGGAUUAUACUGGAUAUGUGGGCAAACAGCUUAUGCCAGAUUACCUGGCCAGUAGGCAGGUAGUUGUGUUAUUAGCACUAUUAAACCAUCUUUCUUCCUACUGCCCACAAAAACAGGCGAACUCCUGGGCUUCCCUGUCUAUGCUUCCCGCGAAAAGAGAAGCAUAGCUAUAGGAAAUUGAAAAAAUGAUAAAUGGCCCCCUGAGAGAAUCAUACAAUAUUAUAGGCCUGCUACUUAGGCACAAGACAGCUCGUGAGGAUACCGGACCCCCAUUUACAUGAUCAACCGAAUCAUACGGUUACAAGCUGUCUUAAAAAUAAUCACUAGUAAAACCAGCAGAGCCUUGACUAUUCUGGCCUGGCAAGAAACUCAGAUGAGAAAUGCUAUCUAUCAAAAUAGAUCAGCUCUCGACUACAGCUGAAGGAGAGGUCUGCAGGAAAUUUAACCUUACUAAUUGCUGCCUACACAUAGAUAAUCAAGGGUAAGUAGUUGAAGACAUAGUUAGAGAUAUGACAAAACUGGCACAUGUGCCCGUACAAGUGUGGCAUAGAUUUGAUCCUGGGGCCAUGUUUGGAAAAUGGUUCCCAGCACUAAGAGGAUUUAAAACUCUUAUAAUAAGAGUUAUAAUAGUAAUAGGAACCUGCUUACUGCUCCCUUGUUUGCUACCUGUACUUCUUCAAAUGAUAAAAAGCUUCAUCACUACCUUAGUUCACCAAAAUGCUUCAGCACAAUGUACUAUGUGAAUCACUAUCGAUCUGUCUUGCAAGAAGACAUGGGAAGUAAAAAUGAAAGUGAGAACUCCCACUAUUGAGUGAGAUUCUCAAAGGGGGGGAAUAAGGGAGGAGACCACCGCUCAUAUUGUCUUAUGCCCAAUUUCUGCCUCCAAAGAAAGAAAAAGUAAAAACUAAAAGACAGAAAUGAAAUCCACAAGCAGGCAGCCCGGCGCCACACCCUGGGCCUGGUAGUUAAAAAUCGACCCCUGACCUAAUUGGUUAUGUUAUCUAUAGAUUACAGACAUUGGAUAGAAAAGCACUGUGAAAAUCCCUAUCCUGUUUUGUUCCGAUGUAAUUACCGGUGCAUGCAGCCCCCAGACACGUACCCCCCACUUGCUCAAUCAAUCAUGCCCCUCUCAUGUGCACCCCCUUAGAGUUGUGAGCCCUUAAAAGGGACAGAAAUUGCUCACU